UACGUAGGGUGCAAGCGUUAAUCGGAAUUACUGGGCGUAAAGCGUGCGCAGGCGGUUUUGUAAGUCAGAUGUGAAAUCCCCGAGCUCAACUUGGGAACUGCGUUUGAAACUACAAGACUAGAAUAUGUCAGAGGGGGGUAGAAUUCCACGUGUAGCAGUGAAAUGCGUAGAGAUGUGGAGGAAUACCAAUGGCGAAGGCAGCCCCCUGGGAUAAUAUUGACGCUCAUGCACGAAAGCG
rnacentral:rRNA from 1 species